GCAUCACUGGCAGGCCACUGAACCGGGACUUGGCUUUGCGAGGUGCGGGGAGAAUGCUGGCGUUGCGUAGACCACCCUGUGCCUGGGUCUUUGUCCCUGAAGGUCAGUCUGUUGCAGGGAGUUUCAUCAGACGGCAGCGGGGUUAAAGGCAGCCAAAAGAAAAUUGACAUUUGCUAAACAACAAUUGUUUGAACAUGGUGAAAAACCAGAGCUCCGGAGAGGCACUUGAUCCCACUUGGUGACUCAGGACAAUGCACUGCCACAAGUUCCCAUUUAAGAACAAACCCAGAUGACUAUUAAUAUCGUGGGGCACCUUAAUCAAGAACAAUUACUAACAUCCACUUUGCCAACGUAUCUCAUGACAUCAGACUAAGUGCCUUCAAACUAACUACAGGUCAUGGGGCGGGGCUGUGGAAGAUAAGUAGUAGACUGGAAGUGCAAUGGAAGUUGGAUGAUGAAAUAUUGCUCAGCACCCUGCUCUCCGAUACUCCAGGACAAUGAAUUUCAUGUUAUUGGAAGGCUAAUUCACAAUAUCACAUCACUCAUGAAUUCCAGAGAUUUGAUAUCCGUUUGUAGGAGCAAAAAUAAAAUGAUUACA